rnacentral:rRNA from 1 species
AACGAACGCUGGCGGCAGGCUUAACACAUGCAAGUCGAGCGCGCCGCAAGGGGAGCGGCAGACGGGUGAGUAACGCGUGGGAAUCUACCCAUCUCUACGGAAUAACGCAUGGAAACGUGUGCUAAUACCGUAUACGUCCUUCGGGAGAAAGAUUUAUCGGAAAUGGAUGAGCACGCGUUGGAUUAGCUAGUUGGUGGGGUAAAGGCCUACCAAGGCGACGAUCAAUAGCUGGUCUGAGAGGAUGAUCAGCCACACUGGGACUGAGACACGGCCCAGACUCCUACGGGAGGCAGCAGUGGGGAAUAUUGGACUAUGGGCGCAAGCCUGAUCCAACCAUGCCGCGUGAGUGAUGAAGGCCCUAGGGUUGUAAAGCUCUUUCACCGGUGAAGAUAAUGACGGUAACCGGAGAAGAAGCACCGGCUAACUUCGUGCCAGCCGCCGCGGUAAAAC